rnacentral:rRNA from 1 species
AACGAACGCUGGCGGCAGGCUUAACACAUGCAAGUCGAACGCAUCCUUCGGGGUGAGUGGCAGACGGGUGAGUAACGCGUGGGAACGUGCCCUUCAGUUCGGGAUAACCCAGGGAAACUUAGGCUAAUACCGGAUACGUGCGAGAGCAGAAAGAUUUAUCGCUGAAGGAUCGGCCCGCGUCUGAUUAGCUAGUUGGUGGGGUAAUGGCCCACCAAGGCGACGAUCAGUAGCUGGUCUGAGAGGAUGAUCAGCCACAUUGGGACUGAGACACGGCCCAAACUCCUACGGGAGGCAGCAGUGGGGAAUAUUGGACAAUGGGCGCAAGCCUGAUCCAGCCAUGCCGCGUGAGUGAUGAAGGCCUAGGGUUGUAAAGCUCUUUCGUCCGGGACGAUAAUGACGGUACCGGAAGAAGAAGCCCCGGCUAACUUCGUGCCAGCAGCCGCCGUAA